CGAGCAGGUCGAACGGCUGCGCAAGGUGAAAGUUUUUCACCUUGUGAGGAAAGUCCGAGCUCCGCAGGGCAGGGUGCCGGGUAACACCCGGUGGAGGCGACUCCAAGGAAAGUGCAACAGAAAAGAACCGCCAUCCACAUUUUUGGUGGGUGGUAAGGGUGAAAAGGUGAGGUAAGAGCUCACCAGCAGUUAGGCGACUAACUGGCUGUGCAAACCCCACCUGGAGCAAGACCAAAUAGGGGAACAAUGCAGUGGCCCGCUGCGUUCCCGGGUUGGUCGCUUAUGAGUCUGAUGGUAACAUCAGACCAAAAGAGAAAUAGCCGUUCUCGACAGAACUCGGCUUACAGACCUGGUCGCACU
rfam:Caldicellulosiruptor saccharolyticus DSM 8903, complete genome.